rnacentral:rRNA from 1 species
UACGGGGGGAGCAAGCGUUGUUCGGAUUUACUGGGCGUAAAGGGCGCGUAGGCGGUCAGCACAAGUCAGUUGUGAAAUCUCCGAGCUUAACUCGGAACGGUCAACUGAUACUGUUUUGCUAGAGUACAGAAAGGGCAAUCGGAAUUCUUGGUGUAGCGGUGAAAUGCGUAGAUAUCAAGAGGAACACCUGAGGCGAAGGCGGGUUGCUAGGCUGAUACUGACGCUGAGUGCGCGAAAGCCAGGGGAGCGAACGGG